GAGUUCCCAUUGUGGUGCAGUGGAAACAAAUCUGACUAGAAUCCAUGAGGAUGCAAGUUCGACUCCUGGCCUUGCUCAGUGAGUCCAGGAUUUGCAUUGCCAUGCGCCGUGGUGUAGGUCACAGACUUGGGGCUCGGAUAUGGCGUUGCUGUAGGCCAGCAGUUCCAGUUCCGAUUUGAACCCUAACCUGGGAACUUUCAUAUGCCUUGGGUGCAGCCCAAAAAAGCAAACAACAACAACAACAAAAAACAAAGACUAUUUCCCACUGGGGAAAAAUGGCUCUUUGGGGGAAAUGGCUGCUUCUAAGUCUGGGAUAGAAAACAAAAUGUACAAGAUCAGCCUGGAACAUCUUGUCACAUGAGCUAAGGAAGCUAUCAAAGAAUUAAUGUCAAAGUUAUUCAGAAACCAACUUGAAGCAGUUGCACUGGUUGAGUAUGAGAUUAUCUGAGCAUUAAAAAAAUGCAAUGAAUCUAAACACAUAAAAUAAACUUAGGUGUUCUCCUAUGGCACAGUGGGUUAAGGAUCCAGCAUUGUCACUGCAGCAGCUUUGGUUGCUGCUUUGGUGCAGGUUUGAUCCCUGGCCUUGCAAAUUCUGCAUGCCUUGAGUGCAGCCAAAAAUAAAUAAAUAAAAAUACAUUUAAAUUCAUGGGUCUAAUAGUAAUGCUCAAAAGAAAUGAUUCAGUGACUGUUGCAGAAUGUUUAUGAACAAAUGCACUUGGAAAGCUUGAAAAUAAAAUUUAAAAAUCAGGUGUGUAUGCUGCCUUACCAGGACCUCUUUUUGGUCCUAUGCCUCUAUGUAACCAAAUAGCACAUGGGUGGAAGUGUUCUUUAUGGAAGUAAUCCAGCUUUGGAAAUACAUGAAGAAAUGACAGAAUUGGCAUGUCACUGUUUUGUGACCCCUAAUGGAAUAACAGACCUGUCAUUGGUCAUCCACAGCUGAUUGUGAGGGACAACAGUGAUUAUAUGCCUUCUAGUUGAACAGCAUAAUAUGAUCCAUGAAGUAGUCUUGACAAAAAAACAAACCCAAAGGAAUUCCCAUUGUGGCUCAGCGGAAACGAAUCUGACUAGCAUCCAUGAGGACGCAGGUUUGAUCCCUGACCUUGCUUAGUGGGUUAAGGAUCCAGGGUUGCCAUGAGCUAUGGUAUAGAUCACAGAUGAAGCUUGGAUCUGGUGUUGCUGUGGCUGUGGUGUAGGCCAGCAGCUACAGCUCCACUUUGACCCCUAGCCUGGGAACCUCCAGGUGCUGUGAGUGCGGCAACUAUGACGACCAAACAAAAAACAAACCCAAAGUAGAUGAAACAUCUAGAUCCAGCUACAGGAAAUACAGAGGAUAGAGGAACAUGUUAAAGACACCCCGAGGAAUGUAAUGAGCAAAAUCUAGCCAGCACUGUUUCUGAUACAACUUUCUGCAGUAAUGGAAAUGGACUAUAUUUGCAGCAUCCAAUAGAGCAGCAAUCACUCGACACCAUUGUACAGACUUAUCUGUAAGCCAGGUUGGAGCUUUUUCUUUCUGCAAACCUGGUCCUAGUAAAUGCUCCACGAGGCCAUGGGUAUAGAUUGAUAGAGGGGCGGCAACACAGCAGAAAUGGUGUCAAAAGAAAAGUAGGUGUUGAAUAAGUCCUAGCCGUCUGCUUAGACCCCUUGUGUAUGCCUUUUCCACCUGCUCCAGUCUGCUCUCGUGUGUUCAUGUCUCACUGCAAUCUGAAGACGCAUUGCCAUUCCACAUGCCUGACCUCAUGGCUCAGCAGAUCAGAAAGCACCCAGCCUAUAGAGUUAUCACAUUUCUCAUAGCCAACCAUUGGGUCCUAUCUGGGCUUAGUAACAACCAGAAACUGUUUCUCAGAAGUAGAAUAGUUAGGACUUCCCUGGUGGUUCAGUGGGUUAAGGACCUGGUAUUGUCACUGUUGUGGGUCAGUUGCUGGCCCCAGGAACUUCCGUAUGCUGUGGGUGUGCCCCCACCCCCCAAAAGUAGAAUAGUUAAUAGCAGAAGAGAGCACAGCUUUGCUCCAAAACCGUAUCUGUCUCUGCUAUGAUUUUUCUAUUGGGGCUACUAGAGGCUUUGUCUGUUGCUUUUAUAUACCAAAAACCUUCAAAUGUUAUGCUGUGUCAGAAGGCCCAAGUGGCAGAGUGACUGAUACUACAGCCUGGAUUCAUGACAUGCUGUUUUACUACUCUGGGACCCCGCUUAAAACUGGCUUCUUUAAGGCGGGGUCCCAGAGGAGGUGUGGCCUUAAAAAGACAAAAAAAAAAAAAAAAAAAAAAAAAAA
rnacentral:lncRNA from 1 species